UACGUAGGGUGCAAGCGUUAAUCGGAAUUACUGGGCGUAAAGCGUGCGCAGGCGGUUAUGUAAGACAGAUGUGAAAUGCCCGGGCUUAACCUGGGAACUGCAUUUGUGACUGCAUGGCUAGAGUUUGGCAGAGGGGGGGUAGAAUUCCGCGUGUAGCAGUGAAAUGCGUAGAGAUGCGGAGGAACACCGAUGGCGAAGGCAGCCCCCCUGGGCCAAUACUGACGCUCAGGCACGAAAAGCGUGGGGAGCAAACGAGG
rnacentral:rRNA from 1 species